CGAGGCGCAAUUGAUCGCAACGAGCGACACAUAGCAUCGCCCCAGCCACAAUGCCACCCGCGCCGGCGACGGCUACGGCGGCGGCGGCGGCGCAGCACCUGGAGUCCGUCCUCCCUUGCCUGACCACGCUCUCACACUACAAGCAGUUCCACGCGCAGCUCAUCACCUCGGCCCGCCUCUACUUCGAGCCCUCCCUCCGAGCCCGCUUCCUCGACCGCCUCGCGCUCUCCGCGCACGCCGCGGCGCUGCCGCACGCCCUCCUCCUCCUCCGCUCCCUCCCGUCCCCCGCCACUAACGACCUCAACGCCGCCCUCCGGGGCCUCGCCGCCUCCCCGCACCCCGCGCGCUCGCUGCUCCUCCUCGCCGGCCGCCUCCUCCCCUCGCCGUCCCCGCCGCGGCCCCGCCUCGACGCGCUCUCCCUCUCCUUCGCGCUGAAGGCCUCCGCCCGGUGCUCGGACGGCCCCGCCACCCUCCAGCUCCACGCGCUCGUCCUCCGCCUCGGCUGCACGGCUGACGUGCGGCUGAUCACCACGCUGGUCGACUCGUAUGCGAAAUGCGACGACCUCGCGUCCGCACGGAAGGUGUUCGAUGAAAUGACCGUGCGCGACGUGGCCUCGUGGAAUGCGCUGCUUGCUGGGCUGGCUCAGGGGACUGAGCCUACCCUGGCCCUGAAGCUGUUCCACAGACUGGUAGGGAGCUUCCGGGAGUUGCCACCAAGGGAGGCACCCAAUGAGGUGACCAUGGUUGCCGCGCUUUCUGCGUGUGCACAGAUUGGCUCGUUACGGGACGGAUUGUAUGUGCAUGAGUUUGUUCGCAAAAUGGGCGUCAGUGGCAAUGUUCGUGUUUGCAAUGCACUUAUUGACAUGUACUCCAAGUGCGGUUCAUUGGCCCGGGCGCUGGAAGUGUUCCACUCCAUCAAACGAGAAGACCGGACACUUGUGUCAUACAAUACUGCGAUACAAGCAAUUUCCAUGCAUGGGCAUGGGGGUGAUGCACUCAAGUUGUUUGAUGAAAUGCCGACAUGUAUUGAGCCGGACGAAGUGACCUACAUCGCUGUGUUGUGCGGAUGCAACCAUGCUGGGCUCGUGGAUGACGGCCUCAGGGUUUUUCAUGGCAUGAGGGUUCCUCCUAAUGUAAAGCACUAUGGCACUGUUGUGGACCUUCUUGGCCGUGCAGGCCGCCUUGCCGAGGCAUAUGAUACUAUUAAGUCCAUGCCGUUUCCUGCAGAUAUUGUCCUCUGGCAGACAUUACUGGGUGCGUCCAAGACGCAUGGUGAUGUUGAGCUCGCGGAGUUAGCUGCUACAAAGCUUGCCAAGCUUGGUUCAAAUGUUGAUGGUGACUAUGUGCUCCUCUCCAAUGUAUAUGCGUCCAAGGCACGGUGGGCAGAUGUUGGUCGAGUCCGUGAUACCAUGCGAAGCAAUGAUGUGCGGAAAGUACCUGGCUUCAGCUACACAGAGAUAAGUGGUGUAAUGCAUAAGUUCAUUAAUGGUGAUAAAGAGCACCCAAGGUUGCAGGAGAUUUACAGAGCGCUAGAGGAAAUUAUGUCAAGAAUAGGAGAGCUGGGAUAUGAGCCGGAAACAAGCAAUGUGCUUCAUGACAUCGGGGAGGAGGAGAAGCAGUAUGCAUUGUCCUAUCAUAGCGAAAAAUUGGCCAUUGCAUUUGGGUUGAUUGCCACGCCACCUGGGGAGACCCUGCGGGUGAUAAAAAAUCUCCGAAUCUGUGGGGACUGUCAUGUAGUGGCAAAGCUCAUAUCUAAAGCCUAUGGCCGAGUGAUUAUCAUCCGGGAUAGAGCAAGAUUCCAUCGGUUUGAAGAUGGGCAGUGCUCUUGCAGCGAUUACUGGUAAAACACUGGUGUGUUCGGUGAUUUACAGGGCUGAUGGAGUUGAUAAUGAGCCACUAACUUCACAGAUCAACAGACUACAGCACUUUGUAGACGGCUAAUUCAAUUCGAAGGUGCCGCUGGUGAGGCAUUCAUUGUUUUGUUGUUGGCUGCACAGAGACAGCCUUAAGGAAGAAUGAGAGAAAUUCAAUGAGAAAUGAGUAGAUCUGUAGAUACGAUGCAUCCAACCAGAAGCAUUCUGCUCUUGUAAAGUGGGGGAGAAUAGAGGUUAAAGGGGCAAGAAUGAAAGUGAGGAAAGGAUGAUCACUCUCAAAGCUUCAAUAUUCAGAGUUGAUGCAAAGUCUCUGGUCUACCAUGCUCCUGCCCUUUCUCAGAAGUCUUGGUUGUCCAGAAAUGGCGCAACCGAAAUGCAUUCAAAGACAUUCACAUGGAUUGAGUGCCACCUAUCGCUUUGGUUGUCAGAGCUCCCCAUUGGCUCUUAACCAGCCCACUUAACAUCUACCAUAAUCGGCAUUGGUGUUGUCAAUUGUAAGCCUAUCCCUUGUCACCAGGGCUACUGCUUAUGCAGUGCACUCCGCUGUUGUGUAAGUUCAGUUAUGAAGAGAUUGUAAAAGUACGUUAAAUGAAGUUUGGGGUCUUAUGUUACUGGGCUGAAACCAUCUGUCCCUGAAAGCUAAUGCAGCUCCUCUACUUUAAUGGAAGAGAGCCUGGAGCAUGUGGAGGUGACCGCAUCAGAUGUGCAUCAGGCUUGAGUUCAUGACACUAAACCUGAUAAGAUCCUGUGAUCUCAUAGUUACUGUCGAUGCUGUGCAAAUUAUACAGUGAGAAAUGUUUGGCUGAACCAUGCACCUCCAUGGGCCUCGAAUGUUCAAUGCUUAUUCCGGACAUGUGCCGCUAUGCCAUUCUACCACACCUCUAUAUUCAGGCACCUCCAUUUUAUCCGUGCAACUUUAAACAAUCUACUCCACCUAUAAAUUCAGGUGCUGCUAUUCUAUCCGUUCAAUCUUUCACACAUAUUUGUAACGUUCAGUCUUUAUCAA